AUCAGCACGGUGGAUGUCACGCGGAAAGCGCUGCCGUGCUCUUCGAGGCUGGGUGAUCCCUGACCGCCGGUCCCCCUUCUCUCUCGGCAGGUUUUCAGUCCCAAACCACCAAAUGAAAGCUGAAAAGAGAAAUAAGAGGGUGUUCAGCAGGAAGGCGAUCACCCCUGGUUUGGGGGUGGCCGUCCGUGCAGCACGGCGAGACGUUGUGGCGGUGGGUUUCCCUCCAUCGCUGCCUCCGAGGGCAGCAGAGAUUGGACCGGUUGCUCGUGAGAGGCUGGAGAGCGAAGCAGAAAGAAGCAAGUGCAAGUUUGCCUGCCUGCGCCACUGGAAUCGCCGCUGGAAUCACCGCUGGAAUCGCCGCGCGUCUCCUCUGUGCCGCUUGCGGUGAAAGCUGCUGCUGUAGGUGCAGCAGACAUCGGAGGAAAGCUGACGCCCCGGGGGGGAAAUCGUGGGGCCCGCGAUGCAGCGUGUGUGCUCGGGCGUGGGAGCCCGCAGCGCUCUGCCUGCAAGGCAGCGGCUCGAUGGCGAGGCCUGGACGAGGACCCGGGCGUUUAAAUCCCCAGCGAGACCAUUUAAAUGGGAAAUCAGUAAGUGAAGCACGAGGGAUUGAUUUUAAUAUUUUUUGUGGCUGUGGACUUCAAGCUGUUGUCAAUAUUUCUGCAUAAAUAAUAAAAAACACUAAAAGGGGGUAGAUGUGACUGACGGAGCGCCUAGAUAAACCUUGGGGCCGGUCUGGUUUCAGGGUGGGGGGAGCGGUGCAAAUCAUGGUGCUGGCAGGCGGGGAAAGGCCAGGAGCUGCCGCAUGGUUUAUUUAUCGCAGGUGGGAUCGGCCCCCUCCUCGCUGGCACUAGCAGCAGCAAGCUGCUUCUUAAAGCAGUGCUGAUUUAAAUGGAGGAAAAAAAGAAAAAAAAAAAGAGGUUUUGAUAGGAAAUGAUAAACUGGGCAGGUUUUAUAUCCCAUCCCUAAGCGGCUUUUGCUGAUUUGCAGCAGCAGGAUGCAGCUACUUGUCUUGCAGAAAGCAAACGGGGAGCGGUGCGGGGACCGGGUCCUGCCCGCUGGAGCCUGCAAAGCACCUCGCAGACCCCAGGGCUGAUGCGGGAUGGUACUGGGUAUCCACCAGCAACUUGGAAGAAUCGCUCAGCCUAGCAUUUAAAAUUUCUUCAUUGACGCUUCGCGUGGUGGGGUCCCUCCUUUGCAGCCCAACACGUGCCCAGGUGUGCGGGAACCACAGCUGCCUUCCCUGGAGGCAUCUCGGCAUUUGCUGCAGGACACGGUGCCUAUCCCAGGGUUUGCUUACAAAUCAGCUAGGUCUUAAUUUACAUGGUUUCCCACUUCCACCUUCCCGGCCAGGGCGACGCCUGCUCUCACCUCGGCCUUGGGCCGGUCCCAGCGCCUCGGAGGCGAUAACCGGGCGGUCGUUGGCACCCGGGUGCAGAACAUCUAUUACCUUGGUCUCCGCAAUCAAAAGCCAUUUAUAGUAAAUGUGUUUGCUUUGUACUGAAUUGCUCACAGCGCUGCCAAGUACAACCACACCAGCUGUUAAUUAGAGUUUAGCUUUUAUUACCAAAAAGUCUGCUCUGUUGAUAUGGAAAAUGGGAAUAAGAAGUCAUUUAACCUA